AUACGGAAGGUCCGGGCGUUAUCCGGAUUUAUUGGGUUUAAAGGGAGCGUAGGCCGGAGAUUAAGCGUGUUGUGAAAUGUAGUGGCUCAACCUCUGCACUGCAGCGCGAACUGGUCUUCUUGAGUACGCACAACGUGGGCGGAAUUCGUGGUGUAGCGGUGAAAUGCUUAGAUAUCACGAAGAACUCCGAUUGCGAAGGCAGCUCACGGGAGCGCAACUGACGCUGAAGCUCGAAAGUGCGGGUAUC
rnacentral:rRNA from 1 species